rfam:Triticum urartu cultivar G1812 contig675993, whole genome shotgun sequence.
AUCAUACUCUCUCGGUCUGGAAAUACUUGUCGGAGAAAUGGAUAAAAAUGGAUGUAUCUGGAACUAAAAAAUGUCUAGAUACAUCUAUUUCUCCGACAAGUAUUUCUGGACGGACGGAGUACUUA